rfam:Nomascus siki mitochondrial DNA, complete genome.
GUAGACAUAGUUUGAUCAAAACAUUAGAUUGUGAAUCUAACAACAGAGAUUCAAAACCUCUUGCUUACC